rnacentral:rRNA from 1 species
CAUGUGGUUUAAUUCGAAGCAACGCGAAGAACCUUACCAGGUCUUGACAUCCUGUGCUACACCUAGAGAUAGGUGGUUCCCUUCGGGGACGCAGAGACAGGUGGUGCAUGGCUGUCGUCAGCUCGUGUCGUGAGAUGUUGGGUUAAGUCCCGCAACGAGCGCAACCCUUGUCUUUAGUUGCCAUCAUUAAGUUGGGCACUCUAAAGAGACUGCCGGUGACAAACCGGAGGAAGGUGGGGAUGACGUCAAGUCAUCAUGCCCCUUAUGACCUGGGCUACACACGUGCUACAAUGGGCAGUACAACGAGAAGCGAACCCGCGAGGGUAAGCUGAUCUCUUAAAGCUGUUCUCAGUUCGGACUGCAGGCUGCAACUCGCCUGCACGAAGCUGGAAUCGCUAGUAAUCGCGGAUCAGCACGCCGCGGUGAAUACGUUCCCGGGCCUUGUACACACCGCCCGUCACACCAUGGA